GAAGGGAUGGCUCAGUAGUUAAGAGCACUGACUGCUCUUCCAGAGGACCUAGGUUCAAUUCCCAGUACCCACA
rfam:Cricetulus griseus cell line CHO-K1, whole genome shotgun sequence.